rnacentral:rRNA from 1 species
UACGUAGGUGGCGAGCGUUGUCCGGAUUUACUGGGCGUAAAGAGCGCGCAGGCGGUCGUACAAGUCGCGUGUGAAAGCCCCCGGCUCAACUGGGGAGGGUCACGCGAUACUGAUCGACUCGAAGGCAGGAGAGGGUAGUGGAAUUCCCGGUGUAGUGGUGAAAUGCGUAGAUAUCGGGAGGAACACCAGUGGCGAAGGCGGCUCACUGGCCCGAUACUGACGCUGAGGCACGAAAGCGUGGGGAGCAAACAGG